UACGUAGGGUGCAAGCGUUAAUCGGAAUUACUGGGCGUAAAGCGUGCGCAGGCGGCUUUGCAAGACAGAUGUGAAAUCCCCGGGCUUAACCUGGGAAUUGCGCUUGUUACUGGCAGACUAGAGUGCGUCAGAGGGAGGUGGAAUUCCACGUGUAGCAGUGAAAUGCGUAGAGAUGUGGAGGAACACCGAUGGCGAAGGCAGCCUCCUGGGAUGACACUGACGCUCAUACACGAAAGCGUGGGGAGCAAACAGG
rnacentral:rRNA from 1 species